rnacentral:rRNA from 1 species
UGGGGAAUUUUGCACAAUGGGGGAAACCCUGAUGCAGCGACGCCGCGUGAUUUAGAAGGCCUUCGGGUUGUAAAAAUCUUUUUUACGGGAUGAAAAUGACAGUACCGUAAGAAUAAGGUCCGGCCAAAUACGUGCCAGCAGCCGCGGUAAUACGUAUGGACCGAGCGUUGUCCGGAAUCAUUGGGCGUAAAGGGUACGUAGGCGGCCUAGUAAGUUAGAAGUGAAAUAAUAUAGCUCAACUAUAUAAAGCUUUUAAAACUGCUAGGCUUGAGAGAUGGAAGGGAAAGUGGAAUUCCUAGUGUAGCGGUGAAAUGCGCAGAUAUUAGGAAGAAUACCGGUGGCGAAGGCGACUUUCUGGUCAUCAUCUGACGCUGAGGUACGAAAGCGUGGGUAGCAAACAGG